GCAUGGUUGGUCCAGUGGUAGAAUUGCCGCCUGCCAGUAUGUGAGCAAUCGCAUUAGCAGUUCGCGGCAGACCCGGGUUCGAUUCCCGGACCAUGCA